AAGCAGCGGCUUCCAUAGGUGGACUCAGUCGCCCGAGUUCCCUAGGGUUUGGGGAAGUACCCUGCUGAAAAGCUCAGGUGCCCAUGACGGAAAUCAUUUAGAUGUAUUUGGUGUUUGUCACCAAGGGGCUCUAGCCAGACACCCAGUAUGGGGCAAAGAUAUACCAGAAAUGCCAGAGCCGGCAGGAACGGACAUAACCCAGUGGCAACAGAAAAGGAACCACAAGAGACAUGAUGUGACGUCAGAAGGGAGCAGCAUUUGGCACUCAGAGGCCAUGAGAGUAAAGAUGCCAGUCAUGAGAUCACAUGACCACAUCAGUGGAGGCCUGGUCACAGAGGUUUUCCUCAGUGAGUGGCAAGCCGCGCCGACGGUGUCACCUCAUUCUGAUGGGUAGAACCUACAAAAAAUACACAUGAAGCAGUCUGCAGGGAGGAAGUCAUCGAAUCGAUUACAGCGGGAGAGCCACUGCCCACCCAACAUCCUAGGGAGCGGUUUGCUGUUACAGAUGACAAGCUGGAUCUGCGAGGUCGCUGGGCUCAUUCAAGGUCAUAUGGCGGGUUAGCAGCUGAGAAGAUCCAGCAUCCUCUGCGGCAGUGGUUGUGUCUUAGGACCUCUCCGAUACACUUGAGCCUGGCAGGAGGUUAACGUACAAACAGAUGGACGAAUGCGUUUCUUUUUUGUUUUUUUGUUUUUUGUUUUUCCGAGACAGGGUUUCUCUGUGAAGCAGUCCUAGCUGUUCUGGAACUCACUCUGUAGACCAGGCUGGCCUCGAACUCACAGAGAUCCGCCUGCCUCGGCCUCCCGAGUGCUGGGAUU